rnacentral:misc_RNA from 1 species
UACUAAUUAACUUACCAACAUACCCUGGAACUGCAAAUCAACAUAAAAUUAAAAACCGCGAUAUCUCCAAUAUCAAGAGCCAUCGCAGGCACAGCCAGCGAUAUCGCCCACAGUUUUCCUUCCAUUUCCAUCCUCCAAUCUAAAAAUUCCUCUUCUCUAUUUGAUUUUGAUGGCAUACAGCUUCGAUUAAUUGUAAAAUCCGCAAAAUGUCCACCGCGACCUCCACAAUUA